rnacentral:rRNA from 1 species
UAGCAUAUCAUAAGCGGAGGAAAAGAAACCAACAGGGAUUGCCCUAGUAACGGCGAGUGAAGCGGCAAUAGCUCAAAUUUGAAAUCUGGCUUCCUUGGAAGUCCGAGUUGUAAUUUGCAGAGGGCGCUUUGGCGUCGGUAGCGGUCUAAGUUCCUUGGAACAGGACGUCACAGAGGGUGAGAAUCCCGUACGUGGUCGACUACCUUCGCCGUGUAAAGCCCCUUCGACGAGUCGAGUUGUUUGGGAAUGCAGCUCUAAAUGGGAGGUAAAUUUCUUCUAAAGCUAAAUACUGGCCAGAGACCGAUAGCGCACAAGUAGAGUGAUCGAAAGAUGAAAAGCACUUUGGAAAGAGAGUCAAACAGCACGUGAAAUUGUUGAAAGGGAAGCGCUUGCCGCCAGACGUGCCCGUGGUGGUUCUCCUCCGCGGGCAGGCCAGCAUCAGUUUGGGCGAUCGGAUAAAGGCCUCUGUCAUGUAUCUCCCUUCGGGGUGACCUUAUAGGGGAGGCGUAAUGCGAUCAGCCUGGACUGAGGUCCGCGCAUCUGCUAGGAUGCUGGCGUAAUGGCUGUAAGCGGCCCGUCUUGAAACACGGACCAAGGAGUCUAACAUCUAUGUGCGAGUGUUUGGGUGUCAAGCCCGAGCGCGUAAUGAAAGUGAACGGAGGUGGGAACCCUUUGGGUGCACCAUCGACCGAUCCUGAAGUCUUCGGAUGGAUUUGAGUAAGAGCAUGGCUGUUGGGACCCGAAAGAUGGUGAACUAUGCUUGAAUAGGGUGAAGCCAGAGGAAACUCUGGUGGAGGCUCGCAGCGGUUCUGACGUGCAAAUCGAUCGUCAAAUUUGGGCAUAGGGGCGAAAGACUAAUCGAACUAUCUAGUAGCUGGUUCCUGCCGA